rnacentral:rRNA from 1 species
GAGUUUGAUCUUGGCUCAGAUUGAACGCUGGCGGCAUGCCUUACACAUGCAAGUCGAACGGCAGCAUGAUCUAGCUUGCUAGAUUGAUGGCGAGUGGCGAACGGGUGAGUAAUACAUCGGAACGUGCCCUGUAGUGGGGGAUAACUAGUCGAAAGAUUAGCUAAUACCGCAUACGACCUGAGGGUGAAAGUGGGGGACCGCAAGGCCUCAUGCUAUAGGAGCGGCCGAUGUCUGAUUAGCUAGUUGGUGGGGUAAAGGCCCGACCAAGGCGACGAUCAGUAGCUGGUCUGAGAGGACGAUCAGCCACACUGGGACUGAGACACGGCCCAGACUCCUACGGGAGGCAGCAGUGGGGAAUUUGGACAAUGGGCGAAAGCCUGAUCCAGC